rnacentral:rRNA from 1 species
UACGGGGGGGGCAAGCGUUGUUCGGAAUUACUGGGCGUAAAGGGCUCGUAGGCGGCCAACUAAGUCAUACGUGAAAUCCCUCGGCUUAACCGGGGAACUGCGUCUGAUACUGGAUGGCUUGAGUUCGGGAGAGGGAUGCGGAAUUCCAGGUGUAGCGGUGAAAUGCGUAGAUAUCUGGAGGAACACCGGUGGCGAAGGCGGCAUUCUGGACUGUAACUGACACUGAGGAACGAAAGCCAGGGGAGCAAACGGG